rnacentral:rRNA from 1 species
UACAGAGGGUGCGAGCGUUAAUCGGAAUUACUGGGCGUAAAGCGCGCGUAGGCGGCUUGGUCAGUCGGAUGUGAAAGCCCUGGGCUUAACCUGGGAACUGCAUUCGAUACUGCCUGGCUAGAAUAUAGUAGAGGGUAGUGGAAUUCCCGGUGUAGCGGUGAAAUGCGUAGAUAUCGGGAGGAACAUCAGUGGCGAAGGCGACUACCUGGACUAAUAUUGACGCUGAGGCGCGAAAGCGUGGGGAGCAAACAGG